CAGCAGCCGCGGGAAUACGAAGGGGGCUAGCGUUGUUCGGAAUUACUGGGCGUAAAGCGCACGUAGGCGGAUAUUUAAGUCAGGGGUGAAAUCCCGCAGCUCAACUGCGGAACUGCCUUUGAUACUGGGUAUCUUGAGUAUGGAAGAGGUUAGUGGAAUUGCGAGUGUAGAGGUGAAAUUCGUAGAUAUUCGCAGGAACACCAGUGGCGAAGGCGGCUAACUGGUCCAUAACUGACGCUGAGGUGCGAAAGCGUGGGGAGCAAACAGGAUUAGAUACCCCCGUAGUCCCUGUCUCUUAUAC
rnacentral:rRNA from 1 species